GACGAACGCUGGCGGCGUGCUUAACACAUGCAAGUCGAACGGAGUGGCGAACGGGUGAGUAACACGUGGGUGACCUGCACUGCACUUCGGGAUAAGCCUGGGGAACUGGGUCUAAUACCGGAUAGUGUGGGAUGGGCCCGCGGGCUAUCAGCGUGUUGGUGGGGUAAUGGCCUACCAGGGCGGCGACGGGUAGCCGGCCUGAGAGGGGGGCCGGCCACAUUGGUACUGAGACACGGCCCAGACGGCUACGGGAGGCAGCAGUGUGGAAUAUUGCCCAAUGGGCGGAAGCCUGAUGCAGCGACGCCGCGUGGGGGAUGACGGCCUUCGGGUUGUAAACUCCUUUCACCAUCGACGCGGUAGAUGGAGAAGAAGCACCGGCUAACUACGUGCCAGCAGCCGCGGUAAUUC
rnacentral:rRNA from 1 species